CUUCUUCUUUUUUUUUUUUUAAUCCUCUUUUCUUUUUUUCCCUCCCUUUUCCUCCCUCCCUCUCCCCGCAGUCGGGACUGGAGUCUCCUCAGGAUAACCUCGGUGCCUUCGCAGCCGCAGUCAAAACCACAUUAUCUAUGUUAUCAUCUGUAUGAUCCUGAGAGGCACUUUGCAGUUCCCAGGAACAGGAGUAUGAAUUGUGACUAUUAAUGCGUCUACCAUACCAAAGAGAGAUUCUAGCUGGAAGAAACAAUCAAUGCAGUGCUUGUCUGAAAGCUGUGGCACCACCUUGUGGAUGUUACUACACACAGUGAGAACUUGACUACUGGAAAUGAAAACAACAAAAACAGGCGUUUUGGAAAAACAACUACAGUCACACAUGAUUUGCUAAAGCAGAGCAG